rnacentral:sRNA from 1 species
CAUGGACAGCCUGGAUCUGCUGGGUGAAGGGAGAAGUUAUGUCCAGGGUGGGACAGAGAGGAUGGCGAGAGAUUUCCUCACUACUCAGAACAGCGGGAAAUUCAAAACUUAGGGAUUAUUUCUGAAAUUUUCCAUUUAAAAUUGACCAAGUGUAACUGAAACCAGAGAAAGCAAGACUGACGAUAAGGGAGGGGCCUCCUGUACUCCAAGAGCACUGAAUCUGGAAAAACUCAACACAUCGAUGGAGUCAUAUAUUUAAUUUUUUCUUAAAAGCCACCUGUGGGGUAUUGUAGAAACGCUGCGCUGCCUAUCACAGCUUGUGAUGUGACACGUUCAUUCUGCAAGUUUAAACUUCGCCUAGAUCGGUUCUUGGGGAAAAGCUGUGCUUCAGAGACAAGGUUGAAGAACUUCGCCUGCAUAUGAUGGAAGAUGACAAUGGGAACCACAGGUGUCAUUGGUGGCUUUGUUUUACAAAGUCUUCACCUUUCUGCCGAGUCACGGGACUAAGUUCAACUCAAUUUCUACUUUCCGCCUUCCUUUGGAAUAAUAGUUUUGGAAGCCAAGUAUUAGUAUAUGAUAUCAGCCUGGAGUCGGGGACUCUGAAACCUAAUCUGAAGUGUGUUUAACGAGGGUUCUGAACGCUGGGACUUAUUGCUGAGGGGAACAAGGAGACAGUGUGUCCUCAGGGGCAGCGUGGCCGCCCCUAGAGCCACAGCAAGCAGGAAGAAUCGCAGCAUUUGUGGGCAGAACCGA